UACGGAGGGUGCAAGCGUUAAUCGGAAUUACUGGGCGUAAAGCGCACGCAGGUGGCUGAGUCAGUCGAUUGUGAAAGCCCUGGGCUUAACCUGGGAAUUGCAGUCGAUACUACUCAGCUAGAGUAUGGGAGAGGGUAGUGGAAUUCCCGGUGUAGCGGUGAAAUGCGCAGAUAUCAGGAGGAACACCGGUGGCGAAGGCGGGUCUCUGGGCAGUAACUGACGCUGAGGAGCGAAAGCGUGGGGAGCGAACAGG
rnacentral:rRNA from 1 species